rnacentral:rRNA from 1 species
UGGGGAAUAUUGGACAAUGGGGGAAACCCUGAUCCAGCAAUGCCGCGUGAGUGAAGAAGGCCUUAGGGUUGUAAAGCUCUUUCGCCCGCGAAGAUAAUGACGGUAGCGGGAGAAGAAGCCCCGGCUAACUCCGUGCCAGCAGCCGCGGUAAUACGGAGGGGGCUAGCGUUGUUCGGAAUUACUGGGCGUAAAGCGUACGUAGGCGGAUGCGCAAGUUGGGGGUGAAAUCCCGGGGCUUAACCUCGGAAUUGCCCUCAAAACUGCACGUCUUGAGACCGAGAGAGGUAAGGGGAAUUCCUAGUGUAGAGGUGAAAUUCGUAGAUAUUGGGAAGAACACCAGUGGCGAAGGCGCCUUACUGGCUCGGUACUGACGCUGAGGUACGAAAGCGUGGGGAGCAAACA